UUGAAUUUUACAAAAUAUUUAAUGAUUGUGUAUUUUAUAUAUUGGCUGUUAACAUUCCUUGCUCAAUUUGUUCGUUGACUAUUAUUUAAAUUUGUAUAAAAAUUUGCAAUUUGAAUGAUUGUUGGUAUGAAAGAUUUUUUUUUUCAGUAGUCGAUUUUGGUUUCGAGAUUAUAAAAUCAAAAUUAACAUUUUUAAUGAUUGUGUUGUGAAAUGAAUUUUAUAUUUGAUAGUAUAAUGAGUUGUUGUGUCUCAUGAGUAAUUAGACCAUUUUAUAUAGAUGAAAUUCUUAUUUAGCAUUUGGGUUUUAAAAAUUAUGGCUGACGAUAGAAGUAAGAAACCGACGAGUGGUCCCAAUAAGAGAAAACGGUACAGUGCGCAGUCAACUGACUGUAACGAAAAUAUCUUGAAAAAGAAGUGUGUGCAGAAAAAAGUAUUAAGUAAGAAAAGGGAGGCAUAUGCAAAGAAGAGGAAGCUUAUGAUUGAUUGUGAGAAUUCUUCAUCAAAUUUUAGCAAUAGGCAUCAAAAAUAUUGUCAUCAAUGAUGGCGAUCAUAGUAAACAAGCAGGUAAGAUAGUUGGGAAUGAGUUUUAUAAAAGGAAAUUAGUAAAAUUCAGGAAUAGUUAAUUUUUCUUUUUUUGUGUGUGUAUACUGAAAUAAAAACAAAAUCUCCCUUUUGGCAGUGGUAGCGGCAAGAUGUAGGAAUCAUUAGGAGUGAUUUCUUCUUGUUUUAUCUCUGUCUUUCUAUCUAUCUCUAUCUUUUAAAUCACUGCCACUUGCAGUCUUCAAUCUACAUUUCUUCCUCUAUAAAGCAAUUUUUGGAAUAACAGCAAACUCUGUGAAGGUACUCAUUAGGCCAACCUCUUGUGGAGACUCAAAUGAUGGAUGCACUAGAAAUGUUGUUUAUCAAAGAAGUAUUAAAGCUGGCAAAAUUGCGUUAAUAUUUGGAGAUUUGAUUAUGGAGGUUGAGAUUGAAGCUACAAGUUCAAAGGAAAUAGAGUCUAUAUUCUUUAUGUCCUGUUUCAUUUUUACCAACAAAAAGAUUAGUAAAACAAAGAGAACCGAGUCUACUCCUUUAGGCUCUAGGCACAGUAUUAUAAUUCUUAUACCUUGUCUUCAUUGGACUUGAGUUUGUAUGGCUGUCUUGGAAAUACUAAAUAAAAGAUUAGCCAUUCGUCCCUCUUUAAUAUCCAUCCAUUUUGAGAUGGAGUACCAAAAAUUGCUUUAUAGAGGAAGAAAUGUAGAUUGAAGGCUGCAAGUGGCAGUGAUUUAAAAGAUAGAGAUAGAUAGAAAGACAGAGAUAAAACAAGAAGAAAUCACUCCUAAUGAUUCCUACAUCUUGCCACUACCACUGCCAAAAGGGAGAUUUUGUUUUUAUUUCAGUAUUUCGGUCAACAAAGGGGCAGUGUUUAAUAUAUCCACUUCUAUUAUUGGAGCUGGAAUUAUGGCAUUGCCUGCCACCAUGAAGGUGCUGGGACUUGGGCUUGGAAUUGGUAUGAUAGUGUUUGUGGCUAUACUGACAGAGGGUUUGUUGGAAAUGCUGCUGAGAUUCGGUAGGGUGGGAAACUCUCACUCUUAUGGGGAAGUCAUGAGGGAUGCUUUUGGCCGUGCUAGGAGGUUGCUGCUUCAGAUUUGUAUCUUGGUUAAUAAUGUUGGGACACUCAUUGCUUACAUGAUCAUCAUUGGUAAUAUUUUAUUUCUAAUUCUUUAGACCAUGAGAGAAAUUUAUUCUACUUUUA